rnacentral:tRNA from 1 species
UCCCUAGUGGCCCAGUGGUUAAGACUCUGCACUUCCAAUGCAGGGGGCAUGGAUUUGAUCCCCAGUUGGGGAA